rnacentral:tmRNA from 1 species
AAAUGCGCUAUAAUGGGGUGUUCCUUGGAACUAUAGCAAUAAACGCGCGUGUAAUAAGCGGCUCGGACCCGGGGGCGGUACCCGGCGGCUCCACCAAAACGUCUUCAUUAGAGACCAGCAGGGGGCCGAAAUAGGAUCGACGGACGUGUAAAAGCGAUGCCUUUGCUCGGAUGAGCUCCGUUAGAAGCUCACAUCAGAAUAGUUGCUAAUGACAACUUUGCUGAAGGUGAACUGCUCGCAGCCUAGUCUGCGCGUGGAUUACCGACUUAAGCCCUUAAGCAUCAGCGCUUAAGGCGGGGCCCGGAGGCGCCUGGCAACAGAAGCCUCCAUUUUCAUG